rnacentral:rRNA from 1 species
CCUACGGGAGGCAGCAGUGAGGAAUAUUGGUCAAUGGCCGGAAGGCUGAACCAGCCAUGCCGCGUGAAGGUCAGUGCCCUAUGGGCGUUAAACCUCUUUUGUGCGGGAGCAAUAAUGGUCACGUGUGGCCAGACGAGAGUACCGUACGAAUAAGCAUUGGCUAACUCCGUGCCAGCGGCCGCGGUAAUACGGGGGAUGCAAGCGUUAUCCGGAUUUAUUGGGGUUAAAGGGUGCGUAGGGUGGGAGGUAAGUCAGCGUGGAAAUGCCCCCGCUCAACGGGGUGAAGUGCCAUUGAUACUGCCUUGCUGGAAUGCGGAUGCCGUGGGAGGAAUGUGUGGUGUAGCGGUGAAAUGCAUAGAUAUCACACAGAACACCGAUUGCGAAGGCAGCUCACGAGUCCGCGAUUGACGCUGAUGCACGAAAGCGUGGGUAUCAAACAGGAUUAGAUACCCGAGUAGUC